UACAGAGGUCUCAAGCGUUGUUCGGAUUCAUUGGGCGUAAAGGGUUGGUAGGUGGUCUUGUUUGUCUAGGGUGAAAUCCCAUGGCUUAACUGUGGAAGUGCCCUAGAAACGGCAAGACUAGAGUCCUAGAGGGGUUUGUGGAAUUCCCGGUGUAGCGGUGAAAUGCGUAGAGAUCGGGAGGAACACCAGCGGCGAAGGCGGCAAACUGGAUAGGCACUGACACUCGAACAACGAAAAGCGUGGGGAGCAAACAGG
rnacentral:rRNA from 1 species